GGGUUGUGAGGUUAAGCGACUAAGCGUACACGGUGGAUGCCCUGGCAGUCAGAGGCGAUGAAGGACGUGCUAAUCUGCGAUAAGCGUCGGUAAGGUGAUAUGAACCGUUAUAACCGGCGAUUUCCGAAUGGGGAAACCCAGUGUGUUUCGACACACUAUCAUUAACUGAAUCCAUAGGUUAAUGAGGCGAACCGGGGGAACUGAAACAUCUAAGUACCCCGAGGAAAAGAAAUCAACCGAGAUUCCCCCAGUAGCGGCGAGCGAACGGGGAGGAGCCCAGAGCCUGAAUCAGUGUGUGUGUUAGUGGAAGCGUCUGGAAAGGCGCGCGAUACAGGGUGACAGCCCCGUACACAAAAAUGCACAUGCUGUGAGCUCGAUGAGUAGGGCGGGACACGUGGUAUCCUGUCUGAAUGUGGGGGGACCAUCCUCCAAGGCUAAAUACUCCUGACUGACCGAUAGUGAACCAGUACCGUGAGGGAAAGGCGAAAAGAACCCCGGCGAGGGGAGUGAAAAAGAACCUGAAACCGUGUACGUACAAGCAGUGGGAGCACAGAGCAAUCUGUGUGACUGCGUACCUUUUGUAUAAUGGGUCAGCGACUUAUAUUCUGUAGCAAGGUUAACCGAAUAGGGGAGCCGAAGGGAAACCGAGUCUUAACUGGGCGUUAAGUUGCAGGGUAUAGACCCGAAACCCGGUGAUCUAGCCAUGGGCAGGUUGAAGGUUGGGUAACACUAACUGGAGGACCGAACCGACUAAUGUUGAAAAAUUAGCGGAUGACUUGUGGCUGGGGGUGAAAGGCCAAUCAAACCGGGAGAUAGCUGGUUCUCCCCGAAAGCUAUUUAGGUAGCGCCUCGUGAAUUCAUCUCCGGGGGUAGAGCACUGUUUCGGCAAGGGGGUCAUCCCGACUUACCAACCCGAUGCAAACUGCGAAUACCGGAGAAUGUUAUCACGGGAGACACACGGCGGGUGCUAACGUCCGUCGUGAAGAGGGAAACAACCCAGACCGCCAGCUAAGGUCCCAAAGUCAUGGUUAAGUGGGAAACGAUGUGGGAAGGCCCAGACAGCCAGGAUGUUGGCUUAGAAGCAGCCAUCAUUUAAAGAAAGCGUAAUAGCUCACUGGUCGAGUCGGCCUGCGCGGAAGAUGUAACGGGGCUAAACCAUGCACCGAAGCUGCGGCAGCGACGCUGAUGCGUUGUUGGGUAGGGGAGCGUUCUGUAAGCCUGUGAAGGUGUGCUGUGAGGCAUGCUGGAGGUAUCAGAAGUGCGAAUGCUGACAUAAGUAACGAUAAAGCGGGUGAAAAGCCCGCUCGCCGGAAGACCAAGGGUUCCUGUCCAACGUUAAUCGGGGCAGGGUGAGUCGACCCCUAAGGCGAGGCCGAAAGGCGUAGUCGAUGGGAAACAGGUUAAUAUUCCUGUACUUGGUGUUACUGCGAAGGGGGGACGGAGAAGGCUAUGUUGGCCGGGCGACGGUUGUCCCGGUUUAAGCGUGUAGGCUGGUUUUCCAGGCAAAUCCGGAAAACUAAGGCUGAGGCGUGAUGACGAGGCACUACGGUGCUGAAGCAACAAAUGCCCUGCUUCCAGGAAAAGCCUCUAAGCAUCAGGUAACAUCAAAUCGUACCCCAAACCGACACAGGUGGUCAGGUAGAGAAUACCAAGGCGCUUGAGAGAACUCGGGUGAAGGAACUAGGCAAAAUGGUGCCGUAACUUCGGGAGAAGGCACGCUGAUAUGUAGGUGAAGUCCCUCGCGGAUGGAGCUGAAAUCAGUCGAAGAUACCAGCUGGCUGCAACUGUUUAUUAAAAACACAGCACUGUGCAAACACGAAAGUGGACGUAUACGGUGUGACGCCUGCCCGGUGCCGGAAGGUUAAUUGAUGGGGUCAGCGCAAGCGAAGCUCUUGAUCGAAGCCCCGGUAAACGGCGGCCGUAACUAUAACGGUCCUAAGGUAGCGAAAUUCCUUGUCGGGUAAGUUCCGACCUGCACGAAUGGCGUAAUGAUGGCCAGGCUGUCUCCACCCGAGACUCAGUGAAAUUGAACUCGCUGUGAAGAUGCAGUGUACCCGCGGCAAGACGGAAAGACCCCGUGAACCUUUACUAUAGCUUGACACUGAACAUUGAGCCUUGAUGUGUAGGAUAGGUGGGAGGCUUUGAAGUGUGGACGCCAGUCUGCAUGGAGCCGACCUUGAAAUACCACCCUUUAAUGUUUGAUGUUCUAACGUUGACCCGUAAUCCGGGUUGCGGACAGUGUCUGGUGGGUAGUUUGACUGGGGCGGUCUCCUCCUAAAGAGUAACGGAGGAGCACGAAGGUUGGCUAAUCCUGGUCGGACAUCAGGAGGUUAGUGCAAUGGCAUAAGCCAGCUUGACUGCGAGCGUGACGGCGCGAGCAGGUGCGAAAGCAGGUCAUAGUGAUCCGGUGGUUCUGAAUGGAAGGGCCAUCGCUCAACGGAUAAAAGGUACUCCGGGGAUAACAGGCUGAUACCGCCCAAGAGUUCAUAUCGACGGCGGUGUUUGGCACCUCGAUGUCGGCUCAUCACAUCCUGGGGCUGAAGUAGGUCCCAAGGGUAUGGCUGUUCGCCAUUUAAAGUGGUACGCGAGCUGGGUUUAGAACGUCGUGAGACAGUUCGGUCCCUAUCUGCCGUGGGCGCUGGAGAACUGAGGGGGGCUGCUCCUAGUACGAGAGGACCGGAGUGGACGCAUCACUGGUGUUCGGGUUGUCAUGCCAAUGGCACUGCCCGGUAGCUAAAUGCGGAAGAGAUAAGUGCUGAAAGCAUCUAAGCACGAAACUUGCCCCGAGAUGAGUUCUCCCUGACUCCUUGAGAGUCCUGAAGGAACGUUGAAG
rnacentral:rRNA from 1 species